rnacentral:rRNA from 1 species
AGCGGCGGACGGGUGAGUAACGCGUGGGUAGCCUGCCCUAUACACACGGAUAACAUACCGAAAGGUAUGCUAAUACGAGAUAAUAUAAGAGAUUCACAUGGAUUUCUUAUCAAAGCUGAGGCGGUAUAGGAUGGACCCGCGUCUGAUUAGCUAGUUGGUAAGGUAACGGCUUACCAAGGCGACGAUCAGUAGCCGACCUGAGAGGGUGAUCGGCCACAUUGGAACUGAGACACGGUCCAAACUCCUACGGGAGGCAGCAGUGGGGAAUAUUGCACAAUGGGCGAAAGCCUGAUGCAGCAACGCCGCGUGAGUGAUGAAGGCCUUCGGGUCGUAAAACUCUGUCCUCAAGGAAGAUAAUGGCGGUACUUGAGGAGGAAGCCCCGGCUAACUACGUGCCAGCAGCCGCGGUAAUACGUAGGGGGCUAGCGUUAUCCGGAUUUACUGGGCGUAAAGGGUGCGUAGGUGGUCUCUUAAGUCAGGAGUGAAAGGCUACGGCUUAACCGUAGUAAGCUCUUGAAACUGGGAGACUUGAGUGCAGGAGAGGAAAGUGGAAUUCCUAGUGUAGCGGUGAAAUGCGUAGAUAUUAGGAGGAACACCAGUAGCGAAGGCGGCUUUCUGGACUGUAACUGACACUGAGGCACGAAAGCGUGGGGAGCAAACAGGAUUAGAUACCCUGGUAGUCCACGCUGUAAACGAUGAGUACUAGGUGU